UACAGAGACUGCAAGCGUUAUUCGGAUUCACUGGGCGUAAAGGGUGCGCAGGCGGCCAGGUGUGUUAGGCGUGAAAGCCCGGGGCUUAACCCCGGAAUUGCACCUAAAACUACUUGGCUAGAGCAUUGGAGAGGGUAGCGGAAUUCACGGUGUAGCAGUGAAAUGCGUAGAUAUCGAUGAGGAACACCAGAGGCGAAGGCGGCUACCUGGACAAUUGCUGACGCUCAGGCACGAAAGCGUGGGGAGCAAAAGG
rnacentral:rRNA from 1 species